rnacentral:rRNA from 1 species
UGGGGAAUAUUGCACAAUGGGCGCAAGCCUGAUGCAGCCAUGCCGCGUGUGUGAAGAAGGCCUUCGGGUUGUAAAGCACUUUCAGCGAGGAGGAAGGUGGUGAGCUUAAUACGCUCAUCAAUUGACGUUACUCGCAGAAGAAGCACCGGCUAACUCCGUGCCAGCAGCCGCGGUAAUACGGAGGGUGCAAGCGUUAAUCGGAAUUACUGGGCGUAAAGCGCACGCAGGCGGUUUGUUAAGUCAGAUGUGAAAUCCCCGGGCUCAACCUGGGAACUGCAUUUGAAACUGGCAAGCUAGAGUCUCGUAGAGGGGGGUAGAAUUCCAGGUGUAGCGGUGAAAUGCGUAGAGAUCUGGAGGAAUACCGGUGGCGAAGGCGGCCCCCUGGACGAAGACUGACGCUCAGGUGCGAAAGCGUGGGGAGCAAACAGAUUAGAUACCCUGGUAGUCACGCUGUAAACGAUGUCGAUUUUGGA